CACAGGAAACAUGCUUUCCACACUACUGUCUAAAAUUCAUCACUAAUUUCCUGAUUAUUAAAGGGAAAUAAAUCUGCCAUUAAUGGAAUCAAAUGUAAUGUUUAGAAAUUCCAUCUCUGUUAUGUUCACUACAUUCUCACAGAUCUUUUACAACUGUCAUAACUGUGUGAACUUUUUAUCCAGUGUUUGUGCAAAACCAAUAUUCCAAGUUGAAUAGAACUCAAGGCAAAGAAACCUGAGAGGUUACCUAAGAGCUAUUAUAUUUAUCAUCAGUAAAAAUCUAUGUCUAUAGAUCACAUAAAUAAUUCAAUUGAACAAUCGUAUUUGAAAAAAAAAAAAAAACAUUUGCAGAGAAGAUGUUUUUUCACUGAUUAAAAUAUAGAAACCACGAAAUAAGACAAUGCAAGUUAAGGGAUAAAACAGCACAAUUUAGUUUUCACAUUUAAACAUGUACAAGAAAUACUGAAUUUAAUAUAAUUUUACAUAAUGUUUACAAUACAGAACUAUUCUAUUGUUGUAUAUCCUACAUUUUCUUUUAUCUAGGUCUAUUUAAGGGGGAAACCAUAUUUAUGAAUGAAUCUGUACCAUCCUGAAUAAAAUGCACUCAGUUUAUUGA